GAUGAAGAACGCAGCGAAAUGCGAUAAGUAAUGUGACUUGCAGAAUUCAGUGAAUCAUCGAAUCUUUGAACGCACCUUGCGCCCUUUGGCUAUUCCGAAGGGCAUGCCUGUUUGAGUAUCAUGAACAUCUCAACUCCUCACGGUUCGCCCGUGACGAGCUUGGACUUUGGGGGUCUUGCCGGCCUGCGGGUCGGCUCCUCUCAAAUGAAUCAGCUUGCCGGUGUUUGGUGGCGUCACAGGUGUGAUAAAUAUCUACGCUUGUGGUUUUCCGCCAGGUAACCUCCAGCGAUGGGGGUUCACUGGAGCUCACGAAUGUCUCUCCUCGGUGAGGACAGCUCUUUGAACGUUUGAUCUCAAAUCAGGUAGGGCUACCCGCUGAACUUAAGCAUAUCAAUAAGCGGAGGA
rnacentral:misc_RNA from 1 species